UUGGAGGGCAAGUCUGGUGCCAGCAGCCGCGGUAAUUCCAGCUCCAAUAGCGUAUAUUAAAGUUGUUGCAGUUAAAAAGCUCGUAGCUGAAUUUCGGGAUCAAUAUGUCGGUCGUGCUUUUGGUACGUACUGGCAUCAUUGGUUUCUCCCUUCUGACAAACCAUGAUGUCAUUAAUUUGGUGUUAUGGGGAGUUAGGACUGUUACUUUGAAAAAAUUAGAGUGUUUAAAGCAGGCAUUAGCUUGAAUACAUUAGCAUGGAAUAAUGAAAUAGGACGUUUGACCCUAUUUUGUUGGUUUCUAGGAUCGACGUAAUGAUUAAUAGGGAUAGUUGGGGGCAUUAGUAUUCAAUUGUCAGAGGUGAAAUUCUUGGAUUUAUUGAAGACUAACUACUGCGAAAGCAUUUGCCAAGGAUGUUUUCAUUAAUCAAGAACGAAAGUUAGGGGAUCGAAGACGAUCAGAUACCGUCGUAGUCUUAACCAUAAACUAUGCCGACUAGGGAUCGGAUGAUGUUAUUUUUAAUGACUCAUUCGGCGCCUUACGGGAAAC
rnacentral:rRNA from 1 species